CUAAAAGCACUGGCCGUUGACAGUCAGCCACACAUGUGACAGGAAGCAGAGGCAUAUUAAUUACUAUGAAGUGGGGGCUUAUUGUGUUGACGUCUAGCUUCGCUGUCGUUAUCGGUAACAGUGUAAACGAGUGCACUCACCCAAACACGACAUGCUAUGCCCGAGAAGUAUGUACAGGACUGGGUGGAAAAGUUCGGGGCAGGUGUUUUCAAGGAGUCUGCUGCGAGAAAACUUACAGCCACCACAAAAACAUGUCAAGGUAAAAAGAAAACAUGUAUGCAAAAACGCAUUGUCCUUCCACAUCAAGAACUAAAGGUACUUGUAAAGGAAAGGGAAAAGUGUGCUGCAGUGUUCGUACGAAAAACGUCUGCCCCCUGUUUGGUGGAGUCUGCGAACGUAACAAAACACGUUGUCACACACUGCAGAAGGCAAGCAAAUACUGUGGUAAAAAUAAAAAAUGCUGCAUAUAUUUACAAUAGCAAUACAUUACAGCGAUACAUUUUCAUCAUAAAUUCCGAGAGGAUCAUGUUUCUACUGCAUAUUGAACUGCGUGGCAGCCGAGCAGUUUUUGUGCAAUAAAGAGUCCUUGGCACUGA